UACAGAGGUCUCAAGCGUUGUUCGGAUUCAUUGGGCGUAAAGGGUGUGUAGGUGGCGCCGUAAGUCGGGUGUGAAAUUUCGGAGCUUAACUCCGAAACUGCAUUCGAUACUGCGGUGCUUGAGGACUGGAGAGGAGACUGGAAUUCAUGGUGUAGCAGUGAAAUGCGUAGAGAUCAUGAGGAAGACCAGUGGCGAAGGCGGGUCUCUGGACAGUUCCUGACGCUGAGGCACGAAGGCCAGGGGAGCAAACGGG
rnacentral:rRNA from 1 species